rnacentral:rRNA from 1 species
UACGUAGGGGGCAAGCGUUGUCCGGAAUCAUUGGGCGUAAAGAGCGUGUAGGCGGCCCGAUAAGUCCGUUGUGAAAGUCGAGGGCUCAACCCUCGAAUGCCGGCGGAUACUGUCGGGCUAGAGUCCGGAAGAGGCGAGUGGAAUUCCUGGUGUAGCGGUGAAAUGCGCAGAUAUCAGGAGGAACACCGAUGGCGAAGGCAGCUCGCUGGGACGGUACUGACGCUGAGACGCGAAAGCGUGGGGAGCAAACAGG